CCCGCGUCGGUUCCAUUCGGCAGCUGGGACGUCGCUCGUCCUUCCUGGGUUGGUAGCCGGCCUCAUCUCGCCGGCAGCGGCUCACGGUGGCACUGUGAAGGCCGUUGGUUUUGUAAGCCGGAACUUUCUUCUCCGGCCACCGAUUCAAGGUAUCUUUGGGGGAUUUUGUAGCUCUUUGAUUAGUCUUUCAACCACCCAAAAGAGGUAGAACGAUUUGGAGUAUAGGGCAAAUCGGAGCUCUUGAGUUCUUGAGUUUAUAAUGAGUUUUCCGGCCAAAUCUUUGAGCUCUAGAGUUUGUGUUAGGCAUGAUUGUUCUUAUGCUUGAUGAGAGGAAGAGUUUGCUGUAUGCCUUGUUAAUUUUGGUUGAAGUUGAUUUAGUGGUGGUGGUUGACCGCCACUGCCGGCGGUUGACCGCCACAGCCGGUGACUGCUGCCGGUUUUGGUGGUGGUUUUGAGUAAUUUUGGAUGAGUUCUAGAAGGGAUAAAUGUUGUUGUAUUGUAUGGUGAUUUUUGGUGAAGAGUGUUUAGAAUUUGGAUAGUUUUGAUGGCUCCAUGGGUGAGAGAUGAGUGGUAUUGAAGUAUUGGAAAUUUUGGUGAGUGUUAGUAGGAAUUUAGUAAAGUUUAAGUCGAUUUUGGUGAAAGAGUAGAGGUGAGCCUCAUCCUUGGAAAUUUCCAUAUUUGUCCUUAAGCGGUAGAACGUUGAGGAGAAAUUGGAGAUGAUUAGUAAAAAUAGGGUUGGAGGUCUUCUUAAGUUGGAAUGAGUAUCGAGUAAGUGAGGACGACUUUAUAUUUGUUAAAUUUGAUAUUCUUGUAUUUUUGUCUCGGACCUUAAAUCUCGUUUUGUACAGGACGAGAGGAGACACCACGUGAGGAGGGCUCUGACCGACGUCAGGCAUAGCCGUCUAUAUUGUGAGUGGACACUUUGUUUUUAAUGGAAUAUGCAUGCUUGAUUAGAGAUUUGAAAUAUGUGGAUUAUUUGGCUUAAUUAUUACUUUGAGCAUUUUAACGUGUGGGACACGUUAUUAAAUUUAAUUUAUUUCUUUCUUAUGCUAUAUUUGUUGGAUUAUAUGAUAUCAAUGCUAGCAUGUCGUUCCACCUUUCGAGGUGAUGUGACUCCCACGUUUCAAGUGGGGUCACGCAAGCCCUUUCCACCCUAGUGGUGAUGUGAUGUUGCCGGCGGCAUCACGCAAGCCCUGUGCUCUAUCCGUCCACUCGACGUGAAGGUACAUGGAUUAUGGGAGUACUAUGUCUGAGAGGCAACCGAGUCUGGGAGACUCACUUAUAUGGCCAUAUAGGAUAUUUUAUUUGAGUUGUUAAUUUGACUAGCCAUUAUUUUGAAAGUUUCUUGAAUGAGAAAUUUAUUUAUUUUUUUUAUUGUAUUAUGACUAGCGGGGCUAGUGUGAAUUUUUAUUGAGUUUAUAAUAUUUGCAUGCAUGAAAAUUCUUGAAUUCUGUAUAAAUGGAAAAGCAUAUAAAAAUUUAAUUUAGUAUCUUUAUGCUCUUGGAUACUUAUUAAUUAGUUUAUUUUUCGUCCACUCACGCUAAUGUUUUUAAAUGCUUUUCCCUGGGCCCUUUGUUUUCAAAUGCCCAGAUUGCAGAGCUCCUGUUCGGUUUCACUAGGAGUUGAGGCUGUUCGGUUUCACUAGGAGUUGAGGCAUAGUUUUUCCGCUGCACCUUGCUGACCGUAGGUUACCUGUUAACCUAUGUGUAGUAUUAUAUUUCCUUCUGGUAGUGCUCUGAUAACCAUCGGGAUAUGUAAAAUAAGUUGGAGUUAUUUUUAAGGGUUAUGACCCAAGUAGGGAGUUUAACUUUGGUCGGUGUUUGUAUUUAAAUAUCGUAGUUGAAUAUUGGGUUUGAAUUGGAAGUGCUGUUAUGACUUGGAUUUUGUUGUGGGGAGCGAAGGACUCCAGGAGAUGUGGUUGUUUGAUUUAGUUGAAGUGUUCAUGGUUCUUUUCUCGCAGGUUGGGUUGUCUAUUUUUAGGGGAGAUUAUGCUGAAAUUUCUGUAUAAUCUCUUUUAAGAGUGGACCCCGCAGGACUUGCCUGUUUUACUGUGUGUUUUUGGGGCGGGUCUUGUCAAUAAAGUCCAAAAUGGUAUUGUUAUUGAUGGAGUGAACUGCAACACUGAUACAUGGAAACUCUUGGAUGAAUAGGUGGCGAAUCACUAUAAGAACUGGUUUGAUUUGAACAAGGACAAGAAUGAUGAGUAAGUUUAUUCUUCCCAAGUUUAUAUAUCUAUAUACAGAAAGGAUAGAGAGCGGACGUCCGCACUCUGGCUUAAAGUGCGGACUUCGUCCGUUCUCUGCUGUCUCACGCCGACGACGGCUUCUCUCCUUCCCGGACGACAGCACAGGCUUCCAGGACAGUUUCUCUCCUUCCAGGACUGGCCGGCGACAAGUUUUCCGGCCGGAUUGAAGCUCUGGACGGAAAACACCAUGAUUGAUCAAGGUUGGCCGGAAAACUUGUCGCCGGCCAGUCCUGGAAGGAGAGAAGCCGUCCUGGAAGCCGGUUAAGCCGGAGUGCGGACGUCCGCUCUACAUCCGGCCUGUAUCUAUAUAUAUAUAUAUAUAUAUAUAACAUUGCAAUUAGUUCCUUGGUUUGACUUGCUUAUGACUUAUUUGUGUCUGCACAGUUUCCGGUAUUGGGAAUGUUGUGAUGGUAUCAUUGACAUUACCAAAGAUGAAUUGAAAAGAAUAAUUCAAGAAGGAGUGAUUACAUCUAAUGUGAUAAAAAAUUACUUGUCUUACUAACCCCAAUAAAGUUGAUGUUUGAGUAACCUAAGAUGUAUUCUUUGUUGUAAUUUGUGACUUAUAUAUGUUGUACAUGCAGACCAUCAGGGUGUACCCCCAAAUGUUGAAAGAGGAAGUGGAAAAGAAGAAGGUCUCGGUCAGAUUCCUAGACAUAGAGGUAGCGGUAAGUAGUCUAACCUGAAAUAGCAGCGUGCCGCAGCACUGCGGUCUCUUCCGUUACUUUUUUUUAGUUAAUACAAUCUUACUACUUGCUUUUAUAAAUAUAGCGCGCGGCGGUGGUAGAUGAACAAAAACUGAAGGAGUUCCUAGCUGGGAGGAGGAAAACAAGGGGAAUUCAAAUGUAAUGAAUUGGAUAUAGAGCUUUUCAUUAUUAAUCCUCUGUGGUCCAUCUUCAAAAAGGACGUGGUUUUCAUUCCGGUACAUCACGGGGUCAGCCACCACUAUACCUUGGUUCUGAUUGACAACAAAGAUCGAUGCUUUUAGCACCUGAACUCAAUGCUACCGCCAAAGAAAUAUUACUCUGCCAACACCAACAACCACUUUCAGAAUAUAAUGGCAGUGGUGAGUUGUAACUAAUUUAUUAGGGUAAGAAGUUUACUGGUGUAAUACUCUAGAUUUUCAUAUCAUUUUUCCUUGUAUUAUUCCCUUAUUUAAUGAAGGAUUAUUUAUGGAAAUUCUUUGGUUUAUGCGAAGUUGAAGUUUCAGGAGUUAUUUUAAGGUGCCUUGACUUUUAAGAGGCCAAAAAUUGACUUUAUUUUUCAUAAGUUAUUUACGAAAACUUCCUUCAUGAAAGUUAUAGAUUUUGGCGAUACAAGUUCGUAGACACGCGACACGUGUAAUUCGGAUGUCGUAUGAGAAAGUUUUGGUCAGAGGAAGUUAGUUUCCGGGUUUGGAAAAUGUAUAAGUAGAAAAAUGUGUGUGGGAGUUAUUUUUGGGAACCCUAAAAUCAGCUCACUCUCUUCUCUCUCUUCUCUCUCUCCCUCUCCCGACCUCACCCGCACACCAAACUUCCGCCGGAGCUAGCUCCGCCGUCUGGCUAGCAUUUGGACCGCCGCUGGUCCUGUUCGACUCCCACAAGUGUUCUCUUCAAGGCUAGGCUGCUGCUGCUCGGUGUAGCACGCCGGAAACGAAGCUUUUGGUCGGCAAAGGGCGCUGCUGUGCCACCGGUCGGAACCGCCGUAUACGGCGGCGACGAGGGGCAAACUUAGGUGAGUUUUGAUCCUCUCCUCCUUCUAGUUAUGGCUAGGCAUAGAUUGAAGCAAGUUUUUGAGGUUUUGAGGCCGGAUUUGCAGGUUUGGGAUUUGAUUUCGAGUUGGUAUUUCGGGGCUGUUUCCGGCCGGUUCCGGCCAAAAUCGGUUGAAGCCUCAGGUAUGAAAGUUGUUCCCCUUGCUUCAAGCUUCAACUUUGAUGUUUUGAGUUUUCUCAAAUUCAGAAGUUGGUAGUGGCGCGUGGGGCCCACUCACCGCCUCCUGUGGUGGCGCGUGGCAGCGCGUCCGACAGUGGUUGUGGCUUAGUUUGCUGUGUUUUUGCUAGCUCUUGUUGUGGUGAGCUUGUGGAGAUGUAGAAUUUCUAAGUUGUGAGCAAGGUUUGUUUGUUAGGACUUUAAGUUUGUUAUUAGGCUUGGUUGAGGUUUGAGUUAGGGUUUGGGGAUUAGAGGCAGCCAUUUUGGGUCUCUAAGUUCAACGACUUUGGAAAGUUGUCCUCCCUUGAACUAAGGGUUAGUUUAAGGGUAUUGUGAUAACCUAUAGUAUUUUAGUUACUAAGGUUUUAAUUGUGUUAUUUGAGGUGAUUUGUGAAGUUGUGUUUUGGCUUGCUAUUGUCGUCUUGUGGAAUUUGCAGCGGGAUAUUUAGGUGAGUAAAUCUCACCAAGGUUCACUUUUGAACCAAAUGUUAUUAUGGUCAUGUGAUGAUGAUAAUGAUGAUGAUUUUGGAUUUAAUAAUAUGCUUUUAAUUGUUUUUAAAAAUAUAUGAGCUUCAUCGCCAACGGCUCAUAGGUAAGAUAAAACAAGUUUUCCUUAUAUGCUAUUUUUGAGAUUCAUGUGAUCAUAAUUUUAUUAGUUAUUAAUAGAUUAUUCUUGUGGAAUAUCUAUAUUUUGUUCAUGUAAAUAUAUCUAUGUGGAAGGAUAUAAUUUAUGAUGUGAUAUUGUGUUGUUGAGGAUAAUGUUGUGAUAUUGUGAUUGUUGGAUAAAUAGCCAAACCAGAUUCCAAGCCUUUAAUUGGGUGAUUGGUUGCGGUUAAGAUGCUAUUUAUCAUUUUUAUGUUUGAUAUUAGACAAUCAAACCGGGUUCCAAGCCUUUGGCCGGGUGAUUGGUUGCGGUUAAGAAUAGAGGUCUAGUCCGUCUGUUAGUGUAGGUCAUGGGAGAUACCGUAUAGUAUCUGGGACCCAUGGGUACACUUUUUGUUGUAGGUCAUGAGGGGUAUUUAUUAAUACUUGGGACUCAUGGGUACAUGUUAAUUGAAAAAGUGUUGGAUUUGUGGAUUUAUUUAUUGAUAUAAAUUGCUCUUGUGAUAUAAUUGGUAAUUGGAGGUUUUGGUGUUAUUUUGAGAAUUACUUGUACGGGCUUUUUAGCUUACCGAGUUUGUUGUUUACAACCCGGUACACCAAUUCUUGAUGUAUGGGUUAGACCUGCAGGUGAGGAUCAGCAGAGUUGAGGCGGAGGCUUAGUGGCAGGGUUUUUGUUGGGUUUUGCUGUACAUUGUAUAUUUUUAUAUUUGGGGUAGACUUUAUUAAAACUCAUGUGAGUGGUUUCAUUUUCUUGAUUUUCAAGUUUAUGUAAACAAGGAAAUGUAAUAUUUAACUCGGUGUUGAAUUGUGUGACAUUUAUAUUUCCGCAUUGAGUUUUGGUUUCUUUGAAGUUUGUUUGAAAACAGGUUUUGGGAUAGAAUUAUUUUAAGAUGUAUCAUGCUAAAUUUAUGAAAAUUAUCUUUCGAAAAAUUGGGGUGUGACAACUGGGGGCAGUAAACUUCUACUGGUUUUUGUUUGUUGCUUGUUCUCUUAGUUUGUUUGAGUUGUAAUUUACUUAUGUGUUGGAACCAACAGGUGAAGCACAUUAUGGUGUUCAUCAAAUGUGUAUAUGAUUCCACCAUAUACUCUCUCAGCCAAGGCUUAGACCCUGAGGAAUGGAGGGAAAACUAUGACAAGCAAGAUAACCAAGGAAUAGUGGUUGACGGUUACUCGAUGAUGAGUGCUGAAGAGAAAAGAACAAGAAGAUGGAUGCUAAACCAAAACAUUUAUCAAGCAAGCUACCAACUGAUUGAUAUCUUAUCCUGCCCGCAACAAAUGAAAACUUCGUAAGUACCUUUAAACUUCCUUUAAAGAGUUUUAUUGGGGUCAGAAAUUAUUGUCUGUUUUAUUAGGGUAAAAUUUUAGUAACACUGUUUCUUAAUACAUUGUAGGUCAGACUUUGGACCAUUUUUGCUCCACUUUAUAGAGAGACCGACAGAAGAUGGUGGUAAUGAAAUGAGGAAGAAGAUGCUGCUAAAGUUCAUGGACAUAAAUAUAGAAAAA
rnacentral:lncRNA from 1 species